rnacentral:lncRNA from 1 species
UUUUCAACCAUAUUUAUAUUUGGAAAACUAAUAUUCAGAUACAAAUGAUAAUAAAAGAGUUUCAAAGAGGCAAUAUCACAAAUGAGCAAGAAGGAAAGGUUAAUAUAAGGAGAUGCUACAUGACUAUACAAAUGUUUUUAAGAGUAACGUUUCUUUUGAUCAUAUGAAUUUUACAAGACUACAACAAAGCCACAAUAGAUUUGAAUCAAAAAGUAAAUUCAAUAGAAUAAAAAUCAAAACAUCAAAACAAGUCUGAUGAUAUCACUUUUGCACAUAAUGCACGUGCUUUCCAAACACGGAGGGUGUACAAUAUCACAUUAAUAAGUAUAGACAAAAAUAAUUUAAAAAAAAAUGUAACAUUUAUUUAACCACCAAU